GCGCACCAGUCGCGAAAACUCCGCAAUACGCGAAAGCGUGACGGGGCCAUCCCGAGUGCCGUCCGCUGAGGAUGGCUUUUCCCCUGUGUAGAUAGCUGGGGGAAUAAGGAGAGGGCAAGUCUGGUGUCAGCCGCCGCGGUAAUACCAGCUCUUCGAGUGGUAGGGAUGUUUAUUGGGCCUGAAGCAUCCGUAGCUGGCUGAACAAGUCCUCCGUUAAAUCCAGCGAUUUAAUCGUUGGAUUGCGGGGGAUACUGCUCGGCUAGUGGGUGGGAGAGGCCAACGGUAUUCUCGGGGUAGGGGUGAAAUCCUAUAAUCCCGGGAGGACCACCAGUGGCGAAGGCGGCCGGCCAAAACGCGCCCGACGGUGAGGGACGAAAGCUGGGGGAGCGAACGGGAUUAGAUACCCCCGUAGUCC
rnacentral:rRNA from 1 species